GUGCGUGUCGAGCGAAUGGAUUAAGAGCUUGCUCUUAUGAAGUUAGCGGCGGACGGGUGAGUAACAUGUGGGUAACCUGCCCAUAAGACUGGGAUAACUCCGGGAAACCGGGGCUAAUACCGGAUAACAUUUUGAACCGCAUGGUUCGAAAUUGAAAGGCGGCUUCGGCUGUCACUUAUGGAUGGACCCGCGUCGCAUUAGCUAGUUGGUGAGGUAACGGCUCACCAAGGCAACGAUGCGUAGCCGACCUGAGAGGGUGAUCGGCCACACUGGCACUGAGACACGGCCCAGACUCAUACGGGAGGCAGCAGUAGGGAAUCUUCCGCAAUGGACGAAAGUCUGACGGAGCAACGCCGCGUGAGUCAUGAAGGCUUUCGGGUCGUAAAACUCUGUUGUUAGGACAGAACAAGUGCUAGUUGAAUAAGCUGGCACCUUGACGGUACCUAACCAGAAAGCCACGGCUAACUACGUGCCAGCAGCCGCGGUAAUACGUAGGUGGCAAGCGUUAUCCGGAAUUAUUGCGCGUAAAGCGCGCGCAGGUGGUUUCUUAAGUCUGAUGUGAAAGCCCCACGGCUCACCCGUGGAGGGUCAUUGGAAACUGGGAGACUUGAGUGCAGAAGAGGAAAGUGGAAUUCCAUGUGUAGCGGUGAAAUGCGUAGAGAUAUGGAGGAACACCAGUCGCGUAUGCGACUUUCUGGUUCUGUAACUGACACUGAGGCGCGAAAGCGUGGGGAGCAUACAGGAUUAGAUACCCUGGUAGUCCACGCCGUAAACGAUGAGUGCUAAGUGUUAGAGGUUUCCGUCCUUUAGUGCUGAAGCUAACGUCAUUAAGCACUCCGCCUGGGGGAGUACGGGCCGCUAGAUAGAAAACAUCAAAGAAAUCGACGGCGGCCCCGCACAGCGGUGGA
rnacentral:rRNA from 1 species